AUUGAACGCUGGCGGCAGGCCUAACACAUGCAAGUCGAGCGGAUGAAGGGAGCUUGCUCCUGGAUUCAGCGGCGGGCGGGUGAGUAAUGCCUAGGAAUCUGCCUGGUAGUGGGGGAUAACGUCCGGAAACGGGCGCUAAUACCGCAUACGUCCUGAGGGAGAAAGUGGGGGAUCUUCGGACCUCACGCUAUCAGAUGAGCCUAGGUCGGAUUAGCUAGUUGGUGGGGUAAAGGCCUACCAAGGCGACGAUCCGUAACUGGUCUGAGAGGAUGAUCAGUCACACUGGAACUGAGGCACGGUCCAGACUCCUACGGGAGGCAGCAGUGGGGAAUAUUGGACAAUGGGCGAAAGCCUGAUCCAGCCAUGCCGCGUGUGUGAAGAAGGUCUUCGGAUUGUAAAGCACUUUAAGUUGGGAGGAAGGGCAGUAAGUUAAUACCUUGCUGUUUUGACGUUACCAACAGAAUAAGCACCGGCUAACUUCGUG
rnacentral:rRNA from 1 species